GACAGAGGAUGCAAGCGUUAUCCGGAAUGAUUGGGCGUAAAGCGUCUGUAGGUGGCUUUUUAAGUCUGCCGUCAAAUCCUAGGGCUUAACCCUGGACAGGCGGUGGAAACUACCAAGCUGGAGUACGGUAGGGGCAGAGGGAAUUUCCGGUGGAGCGGUGAAAUGCGUAGAGAUCAGGAAGAACACCGGUGGCGAAGGCGCUCAUCUGGGCUAUAACUGACACUGAGGCGCGAAAGCGUGGGGAGCAAACAGG
rnacentral:rRNA from 1 species